rnacentral:rRNA from 1 species
GAUGAACGCUGGCGGCGUGCCUAAUACAUGCCAGUCGAGCGAACAGAUGAGGAGCUUGCUCCUCUGACGUUAGCGGCGGACGGGUGAGUAACACGUGGAUAACCUACCUAUAAGACUGGGAUAACUUCGGGAAACCGGAGCUAAUACCGGAUAAUAUAUUGAACCGUAUGGUUCAAUAGUGAAAGACGGUUUUGCUGUCACUUAUAGAUGGAUCCGCGCCGCAUUAGCUAGUUGGUAAGGUAACGGCUUACCAAGGCAACGAUGCGUAGCCGACCUGAGAGGGUGAUCGGCCACACUGGAACUGAGACACGGUCCAGACUCCUACGGGAGGCAGCAGUAGGGAAUCUUCCGCAAUGGGCGAAAGCCUGACGGAGCAACGCCGCGUGAGUGAUGAAGGUCUUCGGAUCGUAAAACUCUGUUAUUAGGGAAGAACAAAUGUGUAAGUAACUAUGCACGUCUUGACGGUACCUAAUCAGAAAGCCACGGCUAACUACGUG